AACCCACUCCUUACGCCAUGCCAGAGUUACUGUGAGGAGGAUCAUAAAGAGCCUGCAGAAUGUACUCUCUGAUUCACCUGUCUUAUUAUUUUUGCAAUCAUGGAUAGUAGGGAGUAUCUACUGGAUGCCCAGUGUAAGUGUUCCACAUGCAGGAGCUUAUGGCGCAAUAUAUGGCCCAAGUCUGCACAGCCAUGAGCGUCUUCAACUCUAUCUCAAAAGGCUCUCAGCACCUUACAGGAUGGAACCCCCUCUUCGAGUCAGUUCAGUUUGCAGAGAUUUGGGAGCUGGAUGUCUUGGUGUGAUGCUGUUUGGUUUCUACUUUCAUGGGUCUCAUCUCUCAUCUCCCAGGAGGGCUCUACUUUCAUCAGAACUUCUUCUCUUUUGUUGUCUUUGUGAGGGAAAGGGCUCACCACUUAUAAGCGAUACCAUCACUUCUUCAGAAGCAAAUGUCCACCUAUUCCUGUGGUCUCCAAAUGCUUACUGACUGUAGUGCAGGAGACUUACCCAGUCUUGGAAGUUUGCUCUCCGUUUGCCAAGGCUUUUUAAAGGAUUGGAAACCAGUUUGGGUCAAGUAAGAACAUGUCUGAACUUUCACCCAAGACAGCACACUCAUUCUCUUCCCCAAAAAGUGAUUAUACAUUGUGACCCCUCUCCCCCUCCCCCGCCCCAGCCCCCAGCCCCCAGCCCAUUGAUGCUAAUGGGAGAGCUGUACAAUAUUUAAUGGAUCCAAUCCUGUUCUCAUUGAAAUCAGUGGUGGUUUUGCUAUUACUUUCAGGUAGGAUUCUGAGUGCAGGAUUGGGUUCAUCAUUGUUAUUCAUGAGUUGUAUCUGCAAGUAUUCAGUGUAAUCUCGUUAUAAUGUAAUUCAAUAAGUUGUAUGUUUCUACUGUUCAUCAGUCAUAAAGCUGGUAAUUAGUCCUACAACUCUACAGCUAUGACAAUACCUAAUAGUAUUAUCACAGAGAAUGUAUUGAGAAUGUGUUUUGUAUUUUCAUUCUUGCAACUGAAAGGGAACAAAUCGUUACUGUUUUUUUUUUAAUUAAAUGUAUCUCUUGAAUCCCACGCUAAUUUAGGUUUUAGAAAUUCCAUCAAUAUCAUGGCAAAUAAUAAAUAUGCAGAUGCUUGGACUACA
ensembl:lncRNA